UGAAGGAAAUGAAGCUGUUGAUUCAUCCAAAACAUGGAACAUGUUACAUGCUAAAAGGAAAAAACAACCCCCGACGUUAGGGCUUCUCAUAAUAUUAUGGGAACGUGCUGAGCAGACGGAAGCCUGCGUUCCUUUGCAAGCGAGGCAAUGGCAGUGUCGCCCAGUCUUCCAACAGCAACACACCAGUGCGCCAUCAGCCGCAAGGAAAGCAAAACAGGCGUUUCUGAGCCCUCUAUUGAGCUAAUUACCGUCUCCAGGAUCUCAUCCUGAGAUAUCAUGACCUUAAACAUUCCUGAGAAGUCUGAAAGAGAAGCAAGCCCAGUAGGAUCUCAGCUCUACCCCAGGCCCAGAGAACCAGAGUCUUCAUCUUCGGGCGGCACACUUUCUAUCUUAGAAGCACUGUUCCAGAGAUUGCUUAAGUUACCACCUUUCAAAACUCUGACAUAAAAACCUUGGACAGAUGGAGGCAGUGUGGUCCAGUAGAAAGUGCCUGACAAGAAGCUGGGAGCUAGGUCCUCAAGAAACGCUAGUAACUGUCAGCUGGGAUCUUACUUCUGCCCAGCUGUAGCUAUGUAGAAUGGACAAAUCCUCUAGCCUCUCUGAACUGAAGCUUCCCCUGUGUGUGGGAGUGAGACUGGGAGUGGACAAUAAAACUUCAUCGUUCUUUCCAAUUCUAAAUCCUACGU